rnacentral:rRNA from 1 species
GACGAAGGUGGCAAGCGUUAUUCGGAUCUACUGGGCAUAAAGCGCGCGUAGGCGGCUUGGCAAGUCGGUGGUGAAAGCCCGCAGCUCAACUGCGGAACUGCCUUCGAUACUGCCGGGCUUGAGGGCGGGAGGGGUGAUUGGAACUCCAGGUGUAGCGGUGAAAUGCGUAGAUAUCUGGAGGAACACCGGAGGCGAAGGCGAAUCACUGGACCGCAUCUGACGCUGAGGCGCGAAAGCUAGGGGAGCAAACAGG